rnacentral:misc_RNA from 1 species
UUAACUAUUAUAUAGUACUCAGACAUCACUAAACAAAACGAGUUUGGGUCCUCUGGCAGGCGCAGUCAGCCGGAGCCGACGCCUCGAGAGGCGGCCUGCCAAAGCAACAAAGGUAUGUAAACACGGUUUAGAAGUUACCCAUUUCAAAAAACGGGGCGUUCUUUAAUGAUCCUUCCGCAGGUUCACCUACGGAAA